rnacentral:rRNA from 1 species
AGACCCGAAACCCGGUGAUCUAGCCAUGGGCAGGUUGAAGGUUGGGUAACACUAACUGGAGGACCGAACCGACUAAUGUUGAAAAAUUAGCGGAUGACCUGUGGCUGGGGGUGAAAGGCCAAUCAAACCGGGAGAUAGCUGGUUCUCCCCGAAAGCUAUUUAGGUAGCGCCUCGUGAAUUCAUCUCCGGGGGUAGAGCACUGUUUCGGCUAGGGGGCCAUCCCGGCUUACCAACCCGAUGCAAACUGCGAAUACCGGAGAAUGUUAUCACGGGAGACACACGGCGGGUGCUAACGUCCGUCGUGAAGAGGGAAACAACCCAGACCGCCAGCUAAGGUCCCAAAGUCAUGGUUAAGUGGGAAACGAUGUGGGAAGGCCCAGACAGCCAGGAUGUUGGCUUAGAAGCAGCCAUCAUUUAAAGAAAGCGUAAUAGCUCACUGGUCGAGUCGGCCUGCGCGGAAGAUGUAACGGGGCUAAACCAUGCACCGAAGCUGCGGCAGCGAACGUAUCACCCAAGACAACUUUACGGAGUUGACGAUUGACGGAGCGAAGCGACGUCAAAGCGUUCAUUAAAGUCGAGUUGGCUUAGGGAUACGUUCGUUGGGUAGGGGAGCGUUCUGUAAGCCUGUGAAGGUGUGUCGUGAGGCAUGCUGGAGGUAUCAGAAGUGCGAAUGCUGACAUAAGUAACGAUAAAGCGGGUGAAAAGCCCGCUCGCCGGAAGACCAAGGGUUCCUGUCCAACGUUAAUCGGGGCAGGGUGAGUCGACCCCUAAGGCGAGGCCGAAAGGCGUAGUCGAUGGGAAACGGGUUAAUAUUCCCGUACUUGGUGUUACUGCGAAGGGGGGACGGAGAAGGCUAUGUUGGCCGGGCGACGGUUGUCCCGGUUUAAGGGUGUAGGUGUGUGUUCCAGGUAAAUCCGGUUCACUUUAACACUGAGGCGUGACGACGAGGCACUACGGUGCUGAAGCAACAAAUGCCCUGCUUCCAGGAAAAGCCUCUAAGCAUCAGGUAACACGAAAUCGUACCCCAAACCGACACAGGUGGUCAGGUAGAGAAUACCAAGGCGCUUGAGAGAACUCGGGUGAAGGAACUAGGCAAAAUGGUGCCGUAACUUCGGGAGAAGGCACGCUGACACGUAGGUGAAGUGAUUUACUCAUGGAGCUGAAGUCAGUCGAAGAUACCAGCUGGCUGCAACUGUUUAUUAAAAACACAGCACUGUGCAAACACGAGAGUGGACGUAUACGGUGUGACGCCUGCCCGGUGCCGGAAGGUUAAUUGAUGGGGUCAGCGUAAGCGAAGCUCCUGAUCGAAGCCCCGGUAAACGGCGGCCGUAACUAUAACGGUCCUAAGGUAGCGAAAUUCCUUGUCGGGUAAGUUCCGACCUGCACGAAUGGCGUAAUGAUGGCCAGGCUGUCUCCACCCGAGACUCAGUGAAAUUGAACUCGCUGUGAAGAUGCAGUGUACCCGCGGCAAGACGGAAAGACCCCGUGAACCUUUACUAUAGCUUGACACUGAACAUUGAGCCUUGAUGUGUAGGAUAGGUGGGAGGCUUUGAAGUGUGGACGCCAGUCUGCAUGGAGCCGACCUUGAAAUACCACCCUUUAAUGUUU